GUUAAGGUGGCAGAGCCCGGCCAAUGCAAAAGACCUAAGCCCUUUUAACGGAGGUUCAAGUCCUCCCCCUAACU
rnacentral:tRNA from 1 species